rnacentral:tmRNA from 1 species
GGGGAUGUCACGGCUUCGACAUGAAUUUACAACAUUUAAGUGCAGUGGGGUCAGCCCCUUAUAGCUCUAGGUUCAAUUUAACUGCAGACGAACAAAACAAUAAAGCUGAAUUAAAUUCAUUUGAAAUUAAUCAACUAAUGUCAAACAAUCAAGCAAACUUUGCUUUCGCUUAAUUCUUAAACAUUAAAUUUAUAAAGAAAUAAAAUUUCUAUUAUUUUAUUUCUUCGUUUUUAAAUAGAUAGUUAUUAAUAUCUUGUCUAAGUAUUAAUGAUGAACUGCAUUAGACAAACUUUUAAACCUUAGUUGUACUACUCUAUAUUUAAAAGUACUUAAGUAGUACUAAACUGUAGACCUUAUUUGAAAUAAAUUUGUGGAAACGGGUUCAACUCCCGUCAUCUCCACCA